rnacentral:tRNA from 1 species
UCUCUGGUAGUUUAGUGGUAGAAUACCGGCUUGUCACGCCGGUGGCCGAGGUUGUAAGUACUGUCGAAAUCCCCUGACAAAAAA